AGCAGCAGUACGAUCCGGACCAGACACCAUGGGUAUGUUCACCAUCGCGGUCACACCCAAACCUGCAGCUGGGGAGAGACAGACCCAGUUGAACCACAUCACCACUCCAGGACCAGCUCAGCUUCAACCCACUAAGUCUGGGGUCAGGAUCUGCAGCAAGCUGGAGGAGAGAGCACACAAUAUCAGAGGUUAGUCCUGUGAUUGGUGACAGGCUGCACACUCGGGUUACCUUGCUCAGUCCAUGGAAGAGCACGUUGAAGUGUGGUAGCACUGCUCCCGUGGCCACUUUCACUAUGUUGUAGAGCGCCUCACAGGCAUAGUACUGCAGUCUGCUGUCUGAGUCAUUAAAGCAGGUGAGUACGGGCUCGAUAAGCUCCUUCAGGUACAGGCCAGAGUCCUGCAAAACACACAUACAUGAACACACUCACUUGAACACACACACGAACACACCAAGGAUGCAAGCACAACUUAUAAAAUAAUUUUAAAGGCAGUCUUCUAAAAGCAUUUACUUCCAGUAGACUCAAUGAUUACAAACUUCAAACAACCCAGUGUAAUGUGCUCUAAUGUGUUACAGAACUAUUACAGACUGUAUGGAAUAUUGAUGCCCAGAUCCCUUUACCUUGCCCAGGGCGAUGGAAGAUGCUGCCAGGCCGAUGAGGCCUCCUUUGUGGCUGUGAGGGUGCUGGGACAGGGCAAACUCUGAGGCCAGGAUCUGGAUAACAUGUCUGAUCUGGGCAGAGUUGUUCUGAGCCACAAACUCCCUCACCAGUCUGUGUAUCAAGGCAACAGACACAGAAACAAAUGUCUAGACAGAUGGACACACUAAAAUCAGAGUAGUCUUCAAUCCUGUUCCUGGAGAUACACAUGGUGCAGGCUAUUGUUUUAGCCAAACACAUUUGCCUCCACUGAUCAACUAGACCUAAUCAUCAAGCCAUUGAUGAGUUUAAUCGUACAAAUCCUGCACACACUCUGUGUGUCUCCAGCCAUUAUCUUAUCAUACAACGCAGCGACACAACCCAAUCAGGGGCCAGUGGCAGGACCAUCUAACGUUCCAUAAUCCUUUCCCAUUUUAACUUCAAUGUCACAUGGUGCCUCUUACAUGUCACAAGAAUGAAAAUACAAGGACAAACCAGUAUCAUGUGCCUGAAAGAAUGCACAUUUACCCAUUUUAAUUUAACUUUCAAGUUUAAGGCCUCCACUUUCAAAAUCCAAAGCAAUUGAUCAUUUGAUGACAGUUUGUCACAUGGUUUCUCAGGAGAUUAGUCAGCAUAUGCAGCGCCUACAUCCAAACCCAUGCAGUUUCUUACUUGAAAUUCUAUGGAGUAUGUGUGUGUAUUGAUGCUCACAAACACUUCCUACUCAGCUGAGUCAUACAAACUGCAGAAAGACAAACAGCCUAAUCUUGGGUGGAAAGAUACAUCAACGUUUUAGAAGGCUGUCACCUCCAAGUCUACAAACACAAAACAAAAUACUUUCACCAGAAUCAUGAGCAAGGAAGAAGACUCACUUUUCAAUCUCUAGAGCAGCAACCUUC